GCGACGAAAUCGUCUCGUCCUGAUCAAGGUGCCCCUAUUGAUGUUGAAGGAAUUCUACCGCGCCCCUGAGGCAGACAGUAUAAGUUUCGUACUGCAUCUUCAUAAGAAGCCGGUUUUUAGAUUUAGUCAAAUGCAUUUUAUUCGUACAAAUUUGUUAGUUACACUUGAUACAUUGUAGAGAUACCUACGUCGUUUUUUCGCUAAGGCACUAUUAGAUUGAGCCGUUUGUUCAGUACCAGAGCGCUGAUUUAUUCUGAGACGAAGAGAUGAUAGAGUAGUCGAAGGAUUUGUGAGGCUAUUGAACGUUCCAAUCGACCUGAGCUGAAUUAUGACGUGGGGAAAUACUAUUAGGGUUAUCCUGAUAAAUUGAUAUAUUCACGGCCAGUGGUUUGGUCGCGAAACACUAUCUCAUUAUCCAAUCAGAGUUAUGAAUCCUUCUAUCGGCGCUAUCAGUAAAGGGAAAUGGAAUUUUAGACAAAUCUCUUAAUAUCUCAGUCAAUUCUUAAGGUCCAAAAACGAAAGAGUACAUUUUGGAAAUACCAAAAGAAGCUUUUAAUUUUUUAUAUAGUAAAGCUUUAUUUAUAUAAGAUAUUAGCCACUGUAUCUUAUUUUUCUUAGUCCAGGGCCAUAGAAUAAAACCUCAAGAACACCAAACAGAGAUUUUUUUUUAUAUCCACAAUUUGUAGAGUCUACUUAGCUGUAACAGGUUAAACGCUUUUCUGUAAAAUUACAUAACUUAAAAUUGUACUCUAACACAGAACAGUUUAGAUAGGUAGAUAGAAUCAAAUCUAUAAGCGGGGCGUGGUUAAACUACUGCUUCAUCGUUCUAAUUUUGAUGAAUCAAUACCUUUAUAUUCUCCUGCUGUUGGUACAUGAGGCAAUUCAUAGUAAUUUAAAGCAGGAACUAGAAGUUGAACCUGGUUUAAAUUUAACAAAUUCAUAAAAUUCCAACUCUAAAUUAUUGAAACUUUACACGAUUAAUAAAUAUUUUUACAAUUCUAA